rnacentral:lncRNA from 1 species
UUUUUUUUCAGUUGCAAUUUCACCCUCUUCAUACAUCACGGUGGAAGAUUUAAGGAAGUACAUGGCCUUGAUGCCUAUUAUGGGGGAAAAAAUGAAGUGUUUUCUGACCUAGAUGAAGACAAGUUUGGGUUUUUUGAUUUGAAAGAAUUAGUCGAGGGUUUAGGUUACUCGGAAUGGGGUAAGUUACUAUAUGUAGAGCCUAAGUCAUAUGUCUUUAAGGUAAUCAAAACUGAUAAAGAGGUUAUGGAGAUGUUGAGCUUCCUAAGUAGUUC